AACGAACGCUGGCGGCGUGCCUAACACAUGCAAGUCGAGCGGAGAAAAGGGGAGCAAUCCCCUGAGUACAGCGGCGCACGGGUGAGUAACACGUAGGUGAUCUCCCCUCGAGCCCGGAAUAACCUACCGAAAGGUGGGCUAAUACCGGAUAUGACCACGGGAGUUUCGGCUCCUGCGGUGAAAGAUGGCCUCUACCUGUAAGCUAUCACUCAAGGAUGAGCCUGCGNGCCAUUAGCUAGUUGGUGAGGUAACGGCGUCACCAAGGCGAUGAUGGCUAGCUGGUCUGAGAGGGA
rnacentral:rRNA from 1 species